GCCUAAAGCGUCCGUAGCCGGCUCUGUUAGUUUUCGGUUAAAUCCAUAUGCUCAACAUAUGGGCUGCCGGGAAUACUGCAAAGCUAGGGAGUGGGAGAGGUAGACGGUACUCUGUAGGAAGGGGUAAAAUCCUUUGAUCUAUAGAAGACCACCAGUGGCGAAGGCGGUCUACCAGAACACGUCCGACGGUGAGGGAUGAAAGCUGGGGGAGCAAACCGGAUUAGAUACCCGGGUAGUCCCAGCUGUAAACUAUGCAAACUCAGUGAUGCAUUGGCUUGUGGCCAGUGCAGUGCCGCAGAGAAGUCGUUAAGUUUGCCGCCUGGGAAGUACGUACGCAAGUAUGAAACUUAAAGGAAUUGGCGGGGGAGCACCACAAGGGGUGAAGCCUGCGGUUCAAUUGGAGUCAACGCCAGAAAUCUUACCCGGAGAGACAGCAGAAUGAAGGUCAAGCUGAAGACUUUACCAGACAAGCUGAGAAGUGGUGCAUGGCCGUCGCCAGCUCGUGCCGUGAGGUGUCCUGUUAAGUCAGGUAACGAGCGAGAUCCCUGCCUCUAGUUGCCACCAUUACUCUCAGGAGUAGUGGGGCGAAUUAGCGGGACUGCCGCAGUUAAUGCGGAGGAAGGAGGGGGCCACGGCAGGUCAGUAUGCCCCGAA
rnacentral:rRNA from 1 species